UUCCCUUCUGCAGGCAUGCGACCCAGCAGGAGACUAAUAAAACCAUCACCACCAGCACCAAAGCCAUCAAGCAGCUGUCUGAGAUUGUCAGAGGCUCAUCCAGGCAAGAGAGGCUCCAGCUGGACAGGCUGAAGAACCAGCUGUCGGAUGCCAUCCAGAGAUACGGAGCUGUGCAGAAGAAAAUAGCAGAGAAAUCCAAAGCUUUGCUUCCCACUGGGCAGAGAAGCACCAAGCAG